rnacentral:rRNA from 1 species
AUGCACUGUAUCACAAGCCAAAAAUGCAGACUAAGUCACCAACUAGCAAGCUGCUAUUGCAAGCUAAGUGUGUCGUGCGAUUGCUACCAGGAUAAUCAACACAUUUGUGGUCGGUACUGUCACUCACCUCUUGGAUGUCUUGGAGGGAAUUGGCACAAUGGGAGUUCGAUGGCCAGCGAUAUUCUCCUCCACAGCCUUCACGAGCAGCCUGAAAGCGCGCUUGUGCAAUCACCCUCCCUGCUGCUGCUGCUUCUCCUCCUCCUAGUCCAUCCUUUCCUCUCCGCCGCGACGCCGUCUAUCACCACCAAAGCCGUGCCGCGGCUGCCGGGUUUCUCCGGACCCCUGCCCUUCUCCCUCGAAACUGGGUACGUGGCGCUGGACGACGGCGUCCGCCUCUUCUACUACUUCAUCCAGUCGGAGCGCGACCCGGCAGAGGCAGUGGCGGAGCCAGGAAUGAAAUGGUGGGUGUGCACACCUAAAAAAAUUCUACCUAAUCCAAGUGUCAUACAUACAAUAGUUGGCAAAAAUAUAAUACAAAUAGCCCAAUCAAGUCAGACAACAUUAUAG